rnacentral:rRNA from 1 species
UGAGGAAUAUUGGACAAUGGGCGAAAGCCUGAUCCAGCUAUAUCGCGUGGGUGAUGAAGACUGUAUUGGUUGUAAAACCCUUUACUUAAACAGAGAUUAUGACAAAGUUUGAGAAAAAAGUCCCGGCCAAUCUCGUGCCAGCAGCCGCGGUAAUACGAGAGGGGCAAGCGUUAUUCGGAAUGAUUGGGCGUAAAGCGCACGUAGGCUGUUUAGAAAAUCAUAAAUAACAAAAUCAAAGCUUAACUUUGAAAUUUAUUUAAUUGACUUCUAAACUGGAGUGAAUGAAAGGAGAAUGGAAUUCCUGGCGUAGAGGUAAAAUUUGUUGAUAUCAGGAGGAACACCAAAAGCGAAAGCAAUUCUCUAGUAUUCUACUGACGUUGAGGUGCGACAGCGUGGGGAUCAAAAG